rnacentral:rRNA from 1 species
AACGUAGGAGACAAACGUUAUCCGGAGUUACUGGGCGUAAAGGGCGUGUAGGUGGUUUCGUAAGUCUGGCGUGAAAUUUUUCGGCUUAACCGGGAAAGGUCGUCGGAUACUGCAGAACUAGAGGACGGUAGAGGCGUGUGGAAUUCCGGGUGUAGUGGUGAAAUGCGUAGAGAUCCGGAGGAACACCAGUGGCGAAGGCGGGUCUCUGGGCCGAUACUGACGCUGAGGAGCGAAAGCGUGGGGAGCGAACAGG